rnacentral:rRNA from 1 species
CAGUAGCCGCGGUAAUACGGAGGGAGCUAGCGUUGUUCGGAAUUACUGGGCGUAAAGCGCGCGUAGGCGGUUACUCAAGUCAGAGGUGAAGGCCCGGGGCUCAACCCCGGAACUGCCUUUGAAACUAGGUGACUAGAAUCUUGGAGAGGUCAGUGGAAUUCCGAGUGUAGAGGUGAAAUUCGUAGAUAUUCGGAAGAACACCAGUGGCGAAGGCGACUGACUGGACAAGUAUUGACGCUGAGGUGCGAAAGCGUGAGAGCAAACAGGAUUAGAUACCCCGGUAGUCCCUGUCUCUUAUACA